rnacentral:rRNA from 1 species
UGCCAGCCGCCGCGGUAAUACGAAGGGUGCAAGCGUUGUUCGGAUUUACUGGGCGUAAAGCGCGCGCAGGCGGAUUAGCAAGUCAGAUGUGAAAUCUCGGGGCUUAACCCCGAAACUGCGUCUGAGACUGUUGAUCUAGAGUCUCGGAGAGGGAUGGGGAAUUUCCUGUGUAGGGGUAAAAUCCGUAGAGAUAGGAAGGAACACCAGAGGCGAAGGCGCCAUCCUGGACGAGUACUGACGCUGAGGCGCGAAAGCGUGGGGAGCAAACAGGAUUAGAUA